UGAUGGUAGAGGACUUGGGAGUAACUCCAAAUGAGGGCGUGAAAUGUGGCUCUACACGGUGACCUUGGGCAAAGUCACUUUUCCAAUUCAAGCCUGUCUUGUUCUCUGACAUUGGAGAAACUGCUGGUCUAGUCAAGAAUGCCACUGCAGGGAUAGGGGACUAAAUCCUGGCCACUUCAAGCAUGGGUCAGAGUCCUGGGAGAGACCAUCUGAUUGGCCAAGAUAUGAGCCUGGAGGCCAAGCAGCCAUCUUGAGUCUACGAGGUGACAAGCAUGAAUUCCAAAGUCACUUGCUAAGGAUGGUUAGGUGGACACAUAGAAGGAAUCUGAUAUGCUACGUAUACCAGUUAUGAACUGCCUACC